GCGGAGGAUCCCCCCCCGCAGCCCGGGGGAGUCGCGGCCGUGUCCGCGGCAGCUCGCGAGCCCGGGGCGCGCAGGCUUCCCCGCUGCAGGGAGACGGGGGGGGCGCGGGGCCCCCGCCCUCUGCACAGCUCCAGAGGGGGUGCAGGGGCAGCCAUGCCCCCUUCCCCAAAUGUCAGUGCCCGGAGCUGCACGUGCCCCGUCCGGGGGAACCUGUGGCUCCCGCAGGACAAGGCUGCUCACGGCUUCUCCUGAACCCCUGGUUUCUCCCCACAGCCCAUCCCGGACUCCCCCGGAGGGGGGGGGGUCUCUGCAGCUCACGCGUCCCCCCCACACAGCCCAUCUGCUCCCCAGGGGCAUCCGUGCCUGGGUACGGGGGCAUCCGCGUGGGAAGGGCACCCCAGGGACCCCGCGGCCCCCGGGGGACGCCCAGGGGCUCGUGGGCCCUGCGGCCAGGGAAGGGGCUGCGCCCGGCACCCACCGGCCCCCAGCUCGGUGCUCCUGGCCCCCUCUGCCCCCUCCGCCUCUUUGUCCUCCCGAGCCCCUGCCACCGAGGGCUGCCGUGGGGCGACCACCUCCUCCCUGCUCAGGGCUGGUCUGAGACCUCCCACGCUCAUCGCACGGCAACUGAACGGCGGGAGCUGCAGCCGCCGGCUUUCAACCAGCUGUUGGAAAGUUAAAAAUUCCUCGGGAUCCCUCCACCCCUUGGAACCGGGUCUUUUCGGCCUCCCGGAUCCCGCAGCUGCGAGACAAUGUGCCCAGGGAAGCAGGACAGCUGACGCCACAUUUUCCAUUAUUAGACCCCAUCCGUCACCGACGCCACAAGGUGCCUGCGCCCGCACCUCGGCACCAGCUCACGCUUCGUCCCAGCCAGAGAGGGAGCUGGAAGGAGGCGGAGGGUGAACACACCAUCCCCAGGCAGCUGCGUGGGAGCAGAACACAAUUACGGCGUCUCUCCUUCCUCGCUGCCAGUGCAGCUCUGCUGCCCGGCCCUCCCCGCGCGCAGGAGAUGGGCGCUGCUGAGGACACAGCACGCCAAAGCCGUCCCUGGCCGGUGGCUCACCUGGGGCGACUGAUCCGCUCCCCAUGGAGCUCACCUCCACGGAGCUAACGUGUUUGACAAGUCAGCGUGGCCACCGCUGCGGCAAUGCAGAGCUACGGACAUGCCUGUCCACGCAAAGAAAGGAGAAGGAGGAUGAAGACCUGGUUGGUCUCCUCAGACCUCCUUGGAGAGCAUCCCUACCCGGGCUGCUGUGAACCUGAGCUGAAACCUUCUCUCCUCGCAUCCGGGGUCAGACAGGUCUCUCCAUCUCUGGUCCCAUAGAAAGCACAGAGCACGAGGUGACACUUCGGCAGGACUGGGGACAUGGGCACCCUCCUGUCUCCAGCCCUCGCACUUGGCCAAGAGCCUUACGGGACUUUGAUUUGUAGUGGCGGGUUCCCAGAAGUGCCCGUAGGCAGAAUCCUGGAGCUGCUCCUGGGCCAGUAAUUAAAACCCAGCCACUCUCCUGUCUCAAGAGCCUCCAGAUUUUGCUGUUUGUUUUAUGAAAAUGAUGACUCAGUUUUUAAACAGCAAAAGCCUGUGUUUAUAUGUGUUUUUCUGUCAAAAUGAACCAAAAAUCUGUUGCCAUCGGCUCCUCUUCUCA